UCGCUAAAGUUUCUUCGGAAAGAAUUUUUACGGAAAAUUAACUAACGACUAGUGACGUAACAGUAUCUUUGUGUCGCCACACCUUUAGGAGAGGAUGCUUUUAGAUUCUUUCUUGAUAGUUGUGGAAGUAAAUGUUGUCAUAAUGGCCACUACACAUUCAGAGAAAAAAACCAAAGGCAGAUGGAUUCCAAUCCUCAAAAGGCCAAAAAAGAAAACUUCUCAAACUGGAUCUCAAUCUGAUGCAGCCCAUUCUCCUGAAACAGAAGCUAGUUUAACUGGAUUUCCUCAUGCAUCAACUCCAGCUGCCAGCACUUCAGUCUCUGUUGUUGCAGAGGGGAUUCUCUGUGCCACAAAAACAGGCCAGUGUAUUUUUGAGCUUACAGAAGAUCCCAAGGAAGAAACCCAACCAGUAGAAAUUACAGAAGAUGAAGCUGAUCAUGGGUAUUCAACAAUAGCUGAGCCAAGUCAGAAGUCUGAUCAAAACUUAUCACCACCUGUUCCUCCUAAAAAUUUAGAGGAAUUAUAUGCAAAACCACAAAAACAGAAGCCAAGUGUUUCAUGGAACAAAGAGAUACCAGGUGAACCAGGUUUGGCUUCUCAUCAAGAGAUUACUACUUCACAGGUGGAUGCUCUUCAGUCUUUGAAAUGCAUCAAAACCCAGGAAAGUGCAUUUAUUCCUUCUUGCUCUGUGCUUCCUGCUAAUCUUCUUCUUCCUCAAGUUUCUUUACCUUCUUGUACUUCCAGAGGUAUUAUUUCUUCUGCAUCUUCAUCAGAAUUGGCUUCUGAUUUGGCUAACCAGUUAGUAAUCUUUCAACAAGAAAAUAAGGAACUCCAAGAUGAAGUAGUAGCCUUGCAAAAUUGUGUCUACAGGUUAAAUUCAGAACUUGGUCACUACCAAUUUGCAAAUAUCCAACCAUCUAAGUUCUCGGCCCUGCCUCUAGAAGAAUCUUGUCCACCAUGGCUGACUGACAUGAAACAGCUGUCUCCAUUGUUAUUGGCAUAUGACACUCAGUUGGAGGAGAGAGAAAAAGUGAUACAAGAAAAUGAGGAAACUCUUGUUGAACUACGGCAAGAAGUAAAAAGAUGUGUAACUGAAAACAGAGAACUUCACAACAAUCUCGAGAUAUUUGAAAGCCGGUGGUCAUGGUUACAAAACUGUGAAAAAGAGUUAGAAGAUGCUAAACAAGCUAUGGAAGAAAAUUUUAUUUUGAAAGAGAAGAUAAUACUCUUGGAGAACCGACAGUCUCAGUCUCAGCAUAAGGCUGAAAUGGAAGAAAUGAAAUAUCAGAUUUCCAGACUGCAGCAGCAAAAGGUUCAGCUAGAGAGCAACUUGAAGCAGUAUCAGACAGACUACAAGAUUUUAAAAGAUCAUCAAGCUAUACUGUUGGAGGAGAACAGAAAAAAUGUACCACACAAGGAUCAUGUGGAGGCUAUGUUGGAGACUCGUAGGCUGCUAAAUGAACUGAAGAGGAAACAUGAGGACCAAGUUGAGAAACUAGAAGAACAGUUACAGGAAAGCCAUCGACAGAGAAGUGUAUUAUCUAUAGAAAACGUUCAACUGGAGGAGAAUUCUCAACAGAUUAAUGCAGACAACAAAGCUUUGAAAGAAGAGUACAAACAAGUUUUGAAACAAUGUCACACAUUAGAGAUGCAGUUAGAAAAGACUCAUCUGGAGAAGAAUGAUAACAGAAAGUUAAUGAACAAAUUGUUAUUUUUGGCAGAAAGAAUAGCUCAAGAACGAGAUAUUUUAGCAAGAAAAUCAGAAGAAAUGGCAGCCAAUCAAGAACAGUUGAUGAACUGGGUCAAGUCUCGUAAUAUGAUGGAUGACAAAUUACAAGAUCAACUUAAGAAUGCACAAGACAGAUGAAACAUGGAAAGGUUUAUGUCAAGGAUAUGAGCAAGAACUUGCACAACUACAUAAGGUCAUUAAUAAUCAGGAAAAAGAGGUAGUUGGGGUCAAAAAUGAAAAAAGGUUCCUUGAAGAGGAUCUGGAGACAUUGUGGCAAACCGUUAUGCGAGAGAAUCACUCUUUAAAAACCUAUAUGUAUAGUUCACUUAGUCCAUCUGCAACUCAUAAGUUUCUAAUGAAAUUUGACAAAAGCUGAU
rnacentral:misc_RNA from 1 species